UACGGAGGAUGCAAGCGUUGUCCGGAUUUAUUGGGUGUAAAGGGUGCGUAGGCGGCCUAUUAAGUUAGCGGUUAAAGCGUUCAGCUUAACCGUGUACCCGCCAUUGAUACUGAUAGACUUGAGUGCGACAGAGGGUGUUGGAAUGUGUGGUGUAGCGGUGAAAUGCUUAGAGAUCACGCAGAACACCAAUUGCGAAGGCAGAUGACUAUGUCGUAACUGACGCUGAGGCACGAAAGCGUGGGGAGCAAACAGG
rnacentral:rRNA from 1 species